GGGUUGUGAGGUUAAGCGACUAAGCGUACACGGUGGAUGCCCUGGCAGUCAGAGGCGAUGAAGGACGUGCUAAUCUGCGAAAAGCGUCGGUAAGGUGAUAUGAACCGUUAUAACCGGCGAUGUCCGAAUGGGGAAACCCAGUGCAAUUCGUUGCACUAUCGUUAACUGAAUACAUAGGUUAACGAGGCGAACCGGGGGAACUGAAACAUCUAAGUACCCCGAGGAAAAGAAAUCAACCGAGAUUCCCCCAGUAGCGGCGAGCGAACGGGGAGCAGCCCAGAGUCUGAAUCAGCUUGUGUGUUAGUGGAACGGUCUGGAAAGUCCGACGGUACAGGGUGAUAGUCCCGUACACCAAAAUGCACAGGUUGUGAACUCGAAGAGUAGGGCGGGACACGUGGUAUCCUGUCUGAAUAUGGGGGGACCAUCCUCCAAGGCUAAAUACUCCUGACUGACCGAUAGUGAACCAGUACCGUGAGGGAAAGGCGAAAAGAACCCCGGCGAGGGGAGUGAAAAAGAACCUGAAACCGUGUACGUACAAGCAGUGGGAGCACCUUCGGGUGUGACUGCGUACCUUUUGUAUAAUGGGUCAGCGACUUAUAUUCUGUAGCAAGGUUAACCGUAUAGGGGAGCCGCAGGGAAACCGAGUCUUAACUGGGCGUUAAGUUGCAGGGUAUAGACCCGAAACCCGGUGAUCUAGCCAUGGGCAGGUUGAAGGUUGGGUAACACUAACUGGAGGACCGAACCGACUAAUGUUGAAAAAUUAGCGGAUGACUUGUGGCUGGGGGUGAAAGGCCAAUCAAACCGGGAGAUAGCUGGUUCUCCCCGAAAGCUAUUUAGGUAGCGCCUCGUGAAUUCAUCUUCGGGGGUAGAGCACUGUUUCGGCUAGGGGGUCAUCCCGACUUACCAACCCGAUGCAAACUACGAAUACCGAAGAAUGUUAUCACGGGAGACACACGGCGGGUGCUAACGUCCGUCGUGAAGAGGGAAACAACCCAGACCGCCAGCUAAGGUCCCAAAGUCAUGGUUAAGUGGGAAACGAUGUGGGAAGGCACAGACAGCCAGGAUGUUGGCUUAGAAGCAGCCAUCAUUUAAAGAAAGCGUAAUAGCUCACUGGUCGAGUCGGCCUGCGCGGAAGAUGUAACGGGGCUAAACCAUGCACCGAAGCUGCGGCAGCGACACUAUGUGUUGUUGGGUAGGGGAGCGUUCUGUAAGCCUGCGAAGGUGACCUGUGAGGGUUGCUGGAGGUAUCAGAAGUGCGAAUGCUGACAUAAGUAACGAUAAAGCGGGUGAAAAGCCCGCUCGCCGGAAGACCAAGGGUUCCUGUCCAACGUUAAUCGGGGCAGGGUGAGUCGACCCCUAAGGCGAGGCCGAAAGGCGUAGUCGAUGGGAAACAGGUUAAUAUUCCUGUACUUGGUGUUACUGCGAAGGGGGGACGGAGAAGGCUAUGUUAGCCGGGCGACGGUUGUCCCGGUUUAAGCAUGUAGGCUGAUUGUCCAGGCAAAUCCGGAUAAUCAAGGCUGAGGUGUGAUGACGAGGCACUACGGUGCUGAAGUAACAAAUGCCCUGCUUCCAGGAAAAGCCUCUAAGCAUCAGGUAACAUCAAAUCGUACCCCAAACCGACACAGGUGGUCAGGUAGAGAAUACCAAGGCGCUUGAGAGAACUCGGGUGAAGGAACUAGGCAAAAUGGUGCCGUAACUUCGGGAGAAGGCACGCUGGUGUGUAGGUGAAGCCCCUGCGGGUGGAGCUGAGACCAGUCGAAGAUACCAGCUGGCUGCAACUGUUUAUUAAAAACACAGCACUGUGCAAACACGAAAGUGGACGUAUACGGUGUGACGCCUGCCCGGUGCCGGAAGGUUAAUUGAUGGGGUUAUCCGUAAGGAGAAGCUCUUGAUCGAAGCCCCGGUAAACGGCGGCCGUAACUAUAACGGUCCUAAGGUAGCGAAAUUCCUUGUCGGGUAAGUUCCGACCUGCACGAAUGGCGUAAUGAUGGCCAGGCUGUCUCCACCCGAGACUCAGUGAAAUUGAACUCGCUGUGAAGAUGCAGUGUACCCGCGGCAAGACGGAAAGACCCCGUGAACCUUUACUAUAGCUUGACACUGAACAUUGAGCCUUGAUGUGUAGGAUAGGUGGGAGGCUUUGAAGCGUGGACGCCAGUCUGCGUGGAGCCAACCUUGAAAUACCACCCUUUAAUGUUUGAUGUUCUAACGUUGGCCCCUUACCGGGGUUGCGGACAGUGUCUGGUGGGUAGUUUGACUGGGGCGGUCUCCUCCCAAAGCGUAACGGAGGAGCACGAAGGUUAGCUAAUCCUGGUCGGACAUCAGGAGGUUAGUGCAAUGGCAUAAGCUAGCUUGACUGCGAGCGUGACGGCGCGAGCAGGUGCGAAAGCAGGUCAUAGUGAUCCGGUGGUUCUGAAUGGAAGGGCCAUCGCUCAACGGAUAAAAGGUACUCCGGGGAUAACAGGCUGAUACCGCCCAAGAGUUCAUAUCGACGGCGGUGUUUGGCACCUCGAUGUCGGCUCAUCACAUCCUGGGGCUGAAGUAGGUCCCAAGGGUAUGGCUGUUCGCCAUUUAAAGUGGUACGCGAGCUGGGUUUAGAACGUCGUGAGACAGUUCGGUCCCUAUCUGCCGUGGGCGCUGGAGAAUUGAGGGGGGCUGCUCCUAGUACGAGAGGACCGGAGUGGACGCAUCACUGGUGUUCGGGUUGUCAUGCCAAUGGCACUGCCCGGUAGCUAAAUGCGGAAGAGAUAAGUGCUGAAAGCAUCUAAGCACGAAACUUGCCCCGAGAUGAGUUCUCCCUGAGACUUUAAGUCUCCUGAAGGAACGUUAAAGACGAUGACGUUGAUAGGCCGGGUGUGUAAGCGCAGCGAUGCGUUGAGCUAACCGGUACUAAUGAACCGUGAGGCUUAACCUUACAACGCCGAAG
rnacentral:rRNA from 1 species